rnacentral:rRNA from 1 species
AUACGUAGGGGGCGAGCGUUGUCCGGAAUGAUUGGGCGUAAAGGGCGCGUAGGCGGCGCGGUAAGUCUGGAGUGAAAGUCCUGUUUUUAAGAUGGGAAUUGCUUUGGAUACUGUCGGGCUUGAGUGCAGGAGAGGUAAGUGGAAUUCCCAGUGUAGCGGUGAAAUGCGUAGAGAUUGGGAGGAACACCAGUGGCGAAGGCGACUUACUGGACUGUAACUGACGCUGAGGCGCGAAAGUGUGGGGAGCAAACAGGAUUAGAUACCCUGGUAGUCCACACUGUAAACGAUGAAUGCUAGGUGUAGGGGGUAUCGACCCCUUCUGUGCCGCAGUCAACACAAUAAGCAUUCCGCCUGGGGAGUACGGCCGCAAGGUGGAAACUCAAAUGAAUUGACGGG